GCCAGGUGGAGGAGAUGAAGGAAUCCUCUGGAACAGGGCUCAGAGAUAUUCACCAUCUGAAACGCUGACCUCUGCGAUAAGCUUAAUGUUCAUACCCAGCUGAAGAAGAGGCUAGCCAGCGAGAGAGAGGAAUUCAAGUGCCCAGCUCGAAUGAGGCAGAUCUACAUGUUGCAAAACAGAACAGACAAAAACGGAUAUAUAUGGUUACAGGAAAAACAAUGG